UACGUAGGGGGCUAGCGUUGUCCGGAAUCAUUGGGCGUAAAGAGCGUGUAGGCGGCCCGGUAAGUCCGCUGUGAAAGUCCAGGGCUCAACCCUGGGAUGCCGGUGGAUACUGUCGGGCUCGAGUCCGGAAGAGGCGAGUGGAAUUCCUGGUGUAGCGGUGAAAUGCGCAGAUAUCAGGAGGAACACCAAUGGCGAAGGCAGCUCGCUGGGACGUGACUGACGCUGAGACGCGAAAGCGUGGGGAGCAAACAGG
rnacentral:rRNA from 1 species